CCUACGGGAGGCAGCAGUGGGGAAUUUUGGACAAUGGGCGAAAGCCUGAUCCAGCCAUUCCGCGUGCAGGAUGAAGGCCCUCGGGUUGUAAACUGCUUUUGUACAGAACGAAAAGGUUUCUAUUAAUACUAGGAGCUCAUGACGGUACUGUAAGAAUAAGCACCGGCUAACUACGUGCCAGCAGCCGUGGUAAUACGUAGGGUGCAAGCGUUAAUCGGAAUUACUGGGCGUAAAGCGUGCGCAGGCGGUUAUAUAACGGUCAGAUGUGAAAUCCCCGGGCUCAACCUGGGAACUGCAUUUGAGACUGUAUAGCUAGAGUACGGUAGAGGGGGAUGGGAAUUCCGCGUGUAGCAGUGAAAUGCGUAGAUAUGCGGAGGAACACCGAUGGCGAAGGCAAAUCCCCUGGACCUGUACUGACGCUCAUGCACGAAAGCGUGGGGAGCAAACAGGAUUAGAUACCCUGGUAGUCCACGCCCUAAACGAUGUACACUGGUUGUUGGUACUUACUGACUCGAGUACGAGCGUACGCGUAGAGUAGACGCGNGGAGGUAACGGCCGCGAGGUUAGUAACGUUACGAAGAAGUUAGGACGGCGNGAGAGNGCCGACGGACGACGACGAGGGAGGAGG
rnacentral:rRNA from 1 species